rnacentral:rRNA from 1 species
UACGGAGGAUGCAAGCGUUAUCCGGAAUUAUUGGGCGUAAAGCGUCCGCAGGCGGCUAUGUAAGUCUGCUGUUAAAGAGUCUAGCUCAACUAGAUAAGAGCAGUGGAAACUACAUAGCUAGAGUACGUUCGGGGCAGAGGGAAUUCCUGGUGUAGCGGUGAAAUGCGUAGAGAUCAGGAAGAACACCGGUGGCGAAGGCGCUCUGCUAGGCCGUAACUGACGCUGAGGGACGAAAGCUAGGGGAGCGAAUGGG